UACGUAGGGGGCUAGCGUUACCCGGAAUUACUGGGCGUAAAGGGUGCGUAGGUGGUUUCUUAAGUCAGAGGUGAAAGGCUACGGCUCAACCGUAGUAAGCCUUUGAAACUGGGAAACUUGAGUGCAGGAGAGGAGAGUGGAAUUCCUAGUGUAGCGGUGAAAUGCGUAGAUAUUAGGAGGAACACCAGUUGCGAAGGCGGCUCUCUGGACUGUAACUGACACUGAGGCACGAAAGCGUGGGGAGCAAACAGGAUUAGAUACCCUGGUAGUCCCUGAGCGGG
rnacentral:rRNA from 1 species